CCAGACUCCUACGGGAGGCAGCAGUGGGGAAUAUUGCACAAUGGGGGAAACCCUGAUGCAGCGACGCCGCGUGAGUGAAGAAGUAUUUCGGUAUGUAAAGCUCUAUCAGCAGGGAAGAAAAUGACGGUACCUGACUAAGAAGCCCCGGCUAACUACGUGCCAGCAGCCGCGGUAAUACGUAGGGAGCAAGCGUUGUCCGGAAUUACUGGGUGUAAAGGGAGCGUAGGCGGGGAUGCAAGUUGGGUGUCAAAACUACCGGCUCAACCGAUAGUCGCACUCAAAACUGCAACUCUUGAGUGAAGUAGAGGCAGGCGGAAUUCCUAGUGUAGCGGUGAAAUGCGUAGAUAUUAGGAGGAACACCAGUGGCGAAGGCGGCUUACUGGACUGUAACUGACGUUGAGGCUCGAAAGCGUGGGGAGCAAACAGGAUUAGAUACCCUCGUAA
rnacentral:rRNA from 1 species